GUUCGAAUUAACCAAACUGCCCGAUACAACACUACUAACAUGUGUUUUAGCUUCUUCAUUACUAUUUGGCGAAUCCAAAAUAUCUUGAGGAAUUUAUAGAAUUUACUGUAAAUUAGUUCACGACAUGUUAAUUUUCCUCAAUUGGACUCUGUUUGCAAACUUUGCUUCAUCGUUGAUUUAAUGAUUAAAGUUCAAUAUUUUAAAAAUGAUAAUAAUUUGAAAUCUGCAAAAUAGCUUAAAUGUAAGAAAAGCCAUUUUACUAAAAGCUAUAGUAUAAAACUUCUUUUUUCUGGAAACAUUUAUUGUUAGUCCAAAUCAACGAAGAUGCAUAAUUUUUUUGAUAAUGACGCUAUCAAACAGUUAAUAAAUCACUUUAAAGCCGCCUUUCGUUAACACGCAAUUUCCAAAAUAUCAACUGCUACACUAAGCUUAUCUAAAAAGAAAUUGCUCGUUAGUGUAAGAAUAGAUUGUCAUA